rnacentral:rRNA from 1 species
UUAAGUGAAUAAGGGCGCACGGUGGAUGCCUUGGCACUAGGAGCCGAUGAAGGACGGGACUAACACCGAUAUGCUUUGGGGAGCUGUAAGUAAGCUAUGAUCCAGAGAUUUCCGAAUGGGGGAACCCAAUAUCUUUUAUAGGAUAUUACUUUUCAGUGAAUACAUAGCUGAUUAGAGGUAGACGCAGAGAACUGAAACAUCUUAGUACCUGCAGGAAGAGAAAGAAAAUUCGAUUCCCUGAGUAGCGGCGAGCGAAACGGGAAGAGCCCAAACCAACAAGCUUGCUUGUUGGGGUUGUAGGACUCCAAUAUGGUAGUCUGUUAGUAUAGUUGAAGGAUUUGGAAAAUUCCGCUAAAGAGGGUGAAAGCCCCGUAGACGAAAUGCUGACAACACCUAGGAGGAUCCUGAGUACGGCGGAACACGAGAAAUUCCGUCGGAAUCCGCGGGGACCAUCCCGCAAGGCUAAAUACUCCCUAGUGACCGAUAGUGAACCAGUACCGUGAGGGAAAGGUGAAAAGCACCCCGGAAGGGGAGUGAAAUAGAUCCUGAAACCGUGUGCCUACAACAAGUCAAAGCUCGUUAAUGAGUGAUGGCGUGCCUUUUGUAGAAUGAACCGGCGAGUUACGAUUGCAUGCGAGGUUAAGUCGAAGAGACGGAGCCGCAGCGAAAGCGAGUCUGAAUAGGGCGAAUGAGUAUGUAGUCGUAGACCCGAAACCAUGUGAUCUACCCAUGUCCAGGUUGAAGGUGCGGUAAAACGCACUGGAGGACCGAACCCACGUACGUUGAAAAGUGCGGGGAUGAGGUGUGGGUAGCGGAGAAAUUCCAAACGAACUUGGAGAUAGCUGGUUCUCUCCGAAAUAGCUUUAGGGCUAGCCUCGGAAUUGAGAAUGAUGGAGGUAGAGCACUGUUUGGACUAGGGGCCCAUCUCGGGUUACCGAAUUCAGAUAAACUCCGAAUGCCAUUCAUUUAUAUCCGGGAGUCAGACUGCGAGUGAUAAGAUCCGUAGUCGAAAGGGAAACAGCCCAGACCACCAGCUAAGGUCCCAAAAUAUAUGUUAAGUGGAAAAGGAUGUGGGGUUGCACAGACAACUAGGAUGUUGGCUUAGAAGCAGCCACCAUUUAAAGAGUGCGUAAUAGCUCACUAGUCGAGUGACCCUGCGCCGAAAAUGUACCGGGGCUAAACAUAUUACCGAAGCUGUGGACUACACCAUUAGGUGUAGUGGUAGGAGAGCGUUCUAAGGGCGUUGAAGGUCGAUCGUGAGGACGGCUGGAGCGCUUAGAAGUGAGAAUGCCGGUAUGAGUAGCGAAAGACAGGUGAGAAUCCUGUCCACCGUAUGACUAAGGUUUCCUGGGGAAGGCUCGUCCGCCCAGGGUUAGUCGGGACCUAAGCCGAGGCCGAUAGGCGUAGGCGAUGGACAACAGGUUGAUAUUCCUGUACCAGUUGUUUUUGUUUGAGCAAUGGAGGGACGCAGUAGGCUAAGGAAUGCAUGCGAUUGGAAGUGCAUGUCCAAGCAAUGAGUCUUGAGUAGAGUUAAAUGCUUUACUCUUUAAGGACAAGUUGUGACGGGGAGCGAAAUAAUAGUAGCGAAGUUCCUGAUGUCACACUGCCAAGAAAAGCUUCUAGUGAGAAAACAACUGCCCGUACCGUAAACCGACACAGGUAGUCGAGGAGAGUAUCCUAAGGUGAGCGAGCGAACUCUCGUUAAGGAACUCGGCAAAAUGACCCCGUAACUUCGGGAGAAGGGGUGCUGACUUCGGUCAGCCGCAGUGAAUAGGCCCAAGCGACUGUUUAUCAAAAACACAGGUCUCUGCAAAAUCGUAAGAUGAAGUAUAGGGGCUGACGCCUGCCCGGUGCUGGAAGGUUAAGAGGAUGGGUUAGCUUCGGCGAAGCUCAGAAUUGAAGCCCCAGUAAACGGCGGCCGUAACUAUAACGGUCCUAAGGUAGCGAAAUUCCUUGUCGGGUAAGUUCCGACCCGCACGAAAGGCGUAACGAUUUGGGCACUGUCUCAACGAGAGACUCGGUGAAAUUUUAGUACCUGUGAAGAUGCAGGUUACCCGCGACAGGACGGAAAGACCCCAUGGAGCUUUACUGUAGUUUGAUAUUGAGUGUUUGUACCACAUGUACAGGAUAGGUAGGAGCCGAUGAGACCGGAACGCUAGUUUCGGAGGAGGCGCUGGUGGGAUACUACCCUUGUGUUAUGAACCCUCUAACCCGCACCACUAAUCGUGGUGGGAGACAGUGUCAGAUGGGCAGUUUGACUGGGGCGGUCGCCUCCUAAAAGGUAACGGAGGCGCCCAAAGGUUCCCUCAGAAUGGUUGGAAAUCAUUCGAAGAGUGUAAAGGCAGAAGGGAGCUUGACUGCGAGACCUACAAGUCGAGCAGGGACGAAAGUCGGGCUUAGUGAUCCGGUGGUUCCGCAUGGAAGGGCCAUCGCUCAACGGAUAAAAGCUACCCUGGGGAUAACAGGCUUAUCUCCCCCAAGAGUCCACAUCGACGGGGAGGUUUGGCACCUCGAUGUCGGCUCGUCGCAUCCUGGGGCUGUAGUCGGUCCCAAGGGUUGGGCUGUUCGCCCAUUAAAGCGGCACGCGAGCUG